rnacentral:rRNA from 1 species
UACGUAGGUGACAAGCGUUGUCCGGAUUUACUGGGCGUAAAGAGCGCGCAGGCGGUCGUUCAAGUCGAGUGUGAAAGCCCCCGGCUCAACUGGGGAGGGUCAUUCGAUACUGAUCGACUCGAAGGCAGGAGAGGGAAGUGGAAUUCCCGGUGUAGUGGUGAAAUGCGUAGAUAUCUGGAGGAACACCGGUGGCGAAGGCGGCAUCCUGGACCGGCAUUGACGCUGAGGAGCGAAAGCCAGGGGAGCAAACGGG